AUCUUUGCGCUUGGGGCAAUGACGCAGCUAAUGAGGUACUAACCGAGGCGCGUCUAUUGCUGGUUGAAAACUAUUUCCAAACCCCCUCUAGGCUUAGGGUAGCUUAAGCCUUUGAGAAUUUUUGGAAGGACUCCCUUUGGGG
rnacentral:snRNA from 1 species